UACGUUCCCGGGUCUUGUACACACCGCCCGUCACACCAUGGGAGCGGGUUUUACCAGAAGUAGGUAGCCUAACCGUAAGGAGGGCGCUUACCACGGUAGGAUUCGUGACUGGGUG
rnacentral:rRNA from 1 species